GCAGGGGCCUAAGUAGUAGUGCCGCAGGUCACUGAUUCGAGAUCACCUGCUCUCUGCUACUUAAGACCCUGC
rnacentral:pre_miRNA from 1 species